UGGGAGAUUUUGUUGUCUCACUGUUAACGGUGGCUAUUAAACUCUUUUGUAUAUUUAAUUUAAUUAAUUCCUCAAACCCACUGAAAUAUGAAGAUAAAUAAAGUAAAAAGAAAAGAAAAGAGAAGAGGCGGGGGGCGAUCUGAUAGAUCCAGAGCCUAUCUCGCAGAUCCAUAAACUAGCAGCUCUAAGCAGACAAGAUCGGUGGAGAUCGGCAUAGAGCUAGUCGUUUAUGGAUCGGUGGAGAUGGCGGUGGCAGUGCGGAAAGACGAUUUGUCCAAGUCCUGCACGGGCUCUUCCUCUUCCACUGGGCUACUAAAGCUAAAUUGGACGAGGGUAAUGUCUCUAUUCAUGGCCUAUAUUUGACUCAGUAGUGGUACUAGGUGUUCAAGUCAGUAAUAAUGAUGACACUAUGGCUAGGCAUUUCAAACACCGGAGCUAGAAAUUUUGGGAUUCAUUUGCAGUACUUGCACAUUUUGUGAAACUCUUCGUCUGCUACACUAUAACCACCAAAAUGAAUGAAAUUCAAGUUUUGCAGGGGACUGCAUUCUAGAUGGUCCAGACCAUGAGCAGGUUCUACACUUCAUCCCCCAAGUUCCUGAUGCCAUUUCUCUAGAGGAUUGUGUUCCUCCCUUGUUUCUCAAUUAUGACUUCUCCGCAUUCAGUGGCUGUCAGUGGCAAUAUCAAGCCUGACCAAGAAUUCUAAAACCACUCCACAAAUUUUAUUCUUCCAAAAAGGUUUAUUCGUCUAGGUGAGAGGAUGAUCCUAAUGGCGAUUUGUGAGGAUCCGACCGUUGGAUCAUCGUAUAAUUGUGAAAAGACGAUUCAAAAGGCGAUCCGUGAGGAUCCGACCUUUGGAUCAUCGUAUA